GCCUGAGUGGCUCAGUUGGUUAAGCGUCUGACUCUUGAUCUCAGCUCAGGUCUUGAUCUCAGGGUUGUGAGUUCAAGCCCCACAUCAGGCU
rnacentral:tRNA from 1 species